rnacentral:rRNA from 1 species
AACGAACGCUGGCGGCAGGCUUAACACAUGCAAGUCGAGCGCCCCGCAAGGGGAGCGGCAGACGGGUGAGUAACGCGUGGGAAUCUACCCAUCUCUACGGAAUAACGCAUGGAAACGUGUGCUAAUACCGUAUACGUCCUUCGGGAGAAAGAUUUAACGGAGAUGGAUGAGCCCGCGUUGGAUUAGCUAGUUGGUGGGGUAAAGGCCUACCAAGGCGACGAUCCAUAGCUGGUCUGAGAGGAUGAUCAGCCACACUGGGACUGAGGCACGGCCCAGACUCCUACGGGAGGCAGCAGUGGGGAAUAUUGGACAAUGGGCGCAAGCCUGAUCCAGCCAUGCCGCGUGAGUGAUGAAGGCCCUAGGGUUGUAAAGCUCUUUCACCGGUGAAGAUAAUGACGGUAACCGGAGAAGAAGCCCCGGCUAACUUCGUGCCAGCCGCCGCAGUAAAAC